rnacentral:rRNA from 1 species
UAACUGAAGAGUUUGAUCAUGGCUCAGAUUGAACGCUGGCGGCAGGCUUAACACAUGCAAGUCGAGCGGGGGAGAUUGCUUCGGUAAUUGACCUAGCGGCGGACGGGUGAGUAAUACUUAGGAAUCUGCCUAUUAAUGGGGGACAACAUCUCGAAAGGGAUGCUAAUACCGCAUACGCCCUAC